GCUGGUCGUUACUUUGGUUACUAAUGCGGCAAACAAUGCUAGAGAUAAGGUCUUGAAGGCAUGUCGAAUUUGAUUAAUAGAGGCCACCUUGGACAGGCAAGGUCAAUGAUGGAACCGUACUUGCAUGAGAGUGGGGCUGGUGGUGCCGACAGUGCAUAAUCAGAAGAAUCUUGAGGUGGUUCGUAAGCUGGGAAAGCACUAAGAAAAGAAGAACAAGAAAAUACCAAGGUUCUCCUCAUUAAUGCGAUCUCACUUGCACAUGCCAGUUGUGAAUUUGGAUGUCAACUAUGAUUUGCCGCUUAAAUAUGGGACACAGGCAGAGCCUGACUAUGAGGUGUACUUGCAUAGAAAUGGGAGGGCAUGACGU